CUACGGGGGGCAGCAGUGAGGAAUAUUGCACAAUGGGGGGAACCCUGAUGCAGCAACGCCGCGUGGAGGAUGACGCAUUUCGGUGUGUAAACUCCUUUUAUAUGUCAAGAAAAUGACGGUAGCAUAUGAAUAAGCACCGGCAACUCCGUGCCAGCAGCCGCGGUAAUACGGAGGGUGCAAGCGUUAGUCGGAAUCACUGGGCGUAAAGGACGCGUAGGCGGGUUGGAAAGUCAGGUGUGAAAUCCUACAGCUUAACUGUAGAACUGCACUUGAAACUUCUAAUCUAGAGUAUGGGAGGGGGAGAUGGAAUUAGUGGUGUAGGGGUAAAAUCCGUAGAUAUCACUAGGAAUACCUAAAGCGAAGGCGAUCUCCUGGAACAUUACUGACGCUAAGGCGUGAAAGCGUGGGGAGCAAACAGGAUUAGAUACCCCUGUAGUC
rnacentral:rRNA from 1 species